rnacentral:rRNA from 1 species
CGUAGCCGGCCGGACAAGUCCGUUGGGAAAUCCACGCGCCUAACGCGUGGGCGUCCAGCGGAAACUGUCCGGCUUGGGGCCGGAAGACCCGAGGGGUACGUCCGGGGUAGGAGUGAAAUCCCGUAAUCCUGGACGGACCGCCGGUGGCGAAAGCGCCUCGGGAGGACGGACCCGACGGUGAGGGACGAAAGCCAGGGUCUCGAACCGGAUUAGAUACCCGGGUAGUCCUGGCCGUAAACGAUGUCCGCUAGGUGUGGCGCAGGCUACGAGCCUGCGCUGUGCCGUAGGGAAGCCGUGAAGCGGACCGCCUGGGAAGUACGUCUGCAAGGAUGAAACUUAAAGGAAUUGGCGGGGGAGCACUACAACCGGAGGAGCCUGCGGUUUAAUUGGACUCAACGCCGGACAUCUCACCAGCACCGACAGUAGCUGUGAAGGUCAGUUUGAUGAGCUUACUGGAGCUACUGAGAGGAGGUGCAUGGCCGCCGUCAGCUCGUACCGUGAGGCGUCCUGUUAAGUCAGGCAACGAGCGAGACCCGCACUCCUAGUUGCCAGCAAUACCCUUGUGGUAGUUGGGUACACUAGGAGGACUGCCGCUGCCAAAGCGGAGGAAGGAACGGGCAACGGUAGGUCAGUAUGCCCCGAAUGUGCUGGGCAACACGCGGGCUACAAUGGUCGAGACAGUGGGAUGCCAUCCCGAGAGGGAGCGCUAAUCCCCUAAACCCGAUCGUAGUUCGGAUUGAGGGCUGAAACCCGCCCUCAUGA